AUAUACCCCUGGAUCCUCCAUUACUCUCUGGCUUUGUUCCUGGAGCCCUUCAGUGUGUGUGGCUGCUAUAAACCGCACUGGAGCUCCAUACAGAGACCCUUCCUGGCUCUCUGUCAUCGCUGGGCUCUGUGUGGGUGUGAUUGGGUGUGAUUGGGUGUGAUUGGGUGUGAUUGGGUGUGAUUGGGUGUGAUUGAUUGAUGAUGGCCUGCCCAGACACUUUCCUCUCUGGAGGCUCUUUUGGGAAGGUAUCAUCACCUGACCACCUCCACUGGACACCACCUGGGAGUGUCCCCAGCUGGGUGGACUCUUCAAGCAGUAGCCACGUGGUGGGAGAGCAAAACUGGCAGCAGGGCCUGGGCGUGUGUGGGACAGAAGGACAGGGAACGCUGUGUGCUGCCGCAAGCUGGGCACGAGUCUUGCCUUAAGUCUUCACAAGGGGAAGGUUCAUAAUGGUGGCAAGGCAGAAGACAGGGGCAUGAAACUACAGCAACUUCAUUUUGAUAGUAUGCAGAACAGAAUCCAUUAACUGAGUCUCAGGAGUCAGGCUCAAGGACCUCUUGAUUAAGAAUUAAAUUACAGCCUUGCUUAGUGGGAGCUAUGUGAAAAAUAUCCUGCAAAUCCUUCUUCUGGAACAUGAAACACCCCUCUGAGUUUCUUCUGGUGGUUCUAUGGCAUUUCCACUCUUACUGUUCAAUCCAAAAUAUUCGUGGUGGAUGUAUCUGGCACAUUUGAGCUGUGCAGUGAACACAGCUAGAAGCCUGUUGUUAUUUUCAGGCUUGUUUUUGCUGACUUGCUGCCGUUGGUACGGGCACGAUGUGUUCUGUGACCCUGUGAGCUCUGACCUGUCACAGAUGUUAAGGAACUGCUUACAAAAACAGAGCUCAGAUUCUCACUCUGAUUCACUGUCUGGAUGUGUCAACAGAAUGAAAAAAAAUUUUGGAGAACUCAAAUCUGCUCCAAAUUGAGAAGAAAAUGUUCUCUUCACAUUGAAGGUCCUUCCUAAAUGAGGAUUAAGUGUCCCUUGGGACAAGUGCUGCAGGACCCAGGAGGUACAGCAUGUCCCAAAGAAGGUCUUCAGACAGGCACUACAAUUCCAGUGUGUAAUGUUUUCCAAAGGACUGACUCAGGAGAGGAGGGACUAAGGAUUUCCCUCUAUUUAUUUGUAAGUCCCUGACACGAAUGGUUCUUUGAAGUGUUUUUAGGAUGCUGUAGGGCAGCUCUAUCUCUCACUUAAAAAUAUAUUUUGAAUCACAAGAAACUUUAGAUGUGUGUGUUCAUAACAGAACAUAUGAACUACCACUGCUAACACAAAGUCAGCUUUGUCAAGCUACACCAGGGUUGCCAUUUCCCUUCAGUCCUGUGGUUGGGGACCUUUUAGAUUAAAUUCAUUAGUUCAUGGUAGUUUUGAGAUGUAACAUAAGCCUCCAAAGGCAUCUUAAGCUUCUCUUUUUUAUUAAAAUUAAAUCUUCCCUUGGCAUUUCUCUAGGCACUUCUCCACUCACAAAUAAAAGGGACACUGCUGAAGGAUAUUCUGCUGCACACUUAAAUGCCAGCAAUCCAAUUAAAGAAAUGUUUAACCUUUUGUAAAUAAAGCUAUGUCUUGUGCUGGCUUUUGGCUAAAGGAAAAAAAAAAAUAACUAAUUUAUUAUUAAGCUUCUUACUCAAGACUGAUGUAUGUAUUCAUGAUAUAGUUUAUAGCAUUAUAAGGCCAGAAUAUAUUAAAAUUA